rfam:Cavia porcellus supercont2_513 genomic scaffold, whole genome shotgun sequence.
AGGGAUUUAGCUUGGAGCAUAAGCACCUGCCUUGCAAGCAGGCAGUGGUGAGUUCAAUCCCUG